GAUGAACGCUGGCGGCGUGCCUAAUACAUGCAAGUCGAGCGAACGGACGAGAAGCUUGCUUCUCUGAUGUUAGCGGCGGACGGGUGAGUAACACGUGGAUAACCUACCUAUAAGACUGGGAUAACUUCGGGAAACCGGAGCUAAUACCGGAUAAUAUUUUGAACCGCAUGGUUCAAAAGUAAAAGACGGUCUUGCUGUCACUUAUAGAUGGAUCCGCGCUGCAUUAGCUAGUUGGUAAGGUAACGGCUUACCAAGGCAACGAUGCAUAGCCGACCUGAGAGGGUGAUCGGCCACACUGGAACUGAGACACGGUCCAGACUCCUACGGGAGGCAGCAGUAGGGAAUCUUCCGCAAUGGGCGAAAGCCUGACGGGGCAACGCCGCGUGAGUGAUGAAGGUCUUCGGAUCGUAAAACUCUGUUAUUAGGGAAGAACAUAUGUGUAAGUAACUGUGCACAUCUUGACGGUACCUAAUCAGAAAGCCACGGCUAACUACGUG
rnacentral:rRNA from 1 species